GCCCCAUGGUUGCUGGAUGCUGUUGUACAGGUACAGCUCUCCAGUGAAUGUGAGGGGCCAGAGCAAUCCUGUGAUUUAUGCAUGGGGCUGUUUCUUUUCAGCAGCUGCCAUAGCCCGGUCACUGGUACAUGG
ensembl:snoRNA